rnacentral:rRNA from 1 species
UUAUUUUAAAAAUUAGAGGUUAAACCCGAUGAACCUAAAUAUCCAGUAUGAGAAAGUCAUUAUUAUGAGUAUAAAUUUAUAUAUUCGGUUAAUGUAUUAAUAGUGUGCAUUUUUUUCAUAAAAAGGACAUUGUAAUCUGUUAAUACAUUAAUUAAAAUUUUAUAUUUAUCAUAAAGAGUCAAUUAUUUUGUAUAAGUUUACAUAUAAAUUAAUUAAUUUAGCUUACAUAAUUUUAUUGAUGUAAGAUCGAUGAAUUUCUAGAUAAAUAGUUAACAGUAUUAAAAUAUAUAAUUUUUAUGUCUUAUAUAUAAUAUGUACAUGUACAUAUAUAUGUUUUUGCACUUAUAUUAUAACACUGCUCACGCGACUUCGCCUCGUUUUCGGAUCGGUUAA